rnacentral:rRNA from 1 species
UACGUAGGGUGCAAGCGUUGUCCAGAAUUAUUGGGCGUAAAGAGCUCGUAGGCGGUCUGUCGCGUCUGCUGUGAAAAUCCAGGGCUCAACCCUGGACCUGCAGUGGGUACGGGCAGACUAGAGUGCGGUAGGGGAGAUCGGAAUUCCUGGUGUAGCGGUGAAAUGCGCAGAUAUCAGGAGGAACACCGGUGGCGAAGGCGGAUCUCUGGGCCGUAACUGACGCUGAGGAGCGAAAGCAUGGGGAGCGAACAGG